rnacentral:rRNA from 2 species
CCUGGCAGUCAGAGGCGAUGAAGGGCGUGCUAAUCUGCGAUAAGCGCCGGUAAGGUGAUAUGAACCGUUAUAACCGGCGAUACCCGAAUGGGGAAACCCAGUGUGACUCGUCACACUAUCAUUAACUGAAUCCAUAGGUUAAUGAGGCGAACCGGGGGAACUGAAACAUCUAAGUACCCCGAGGAAAAGAAAUCAACCGAGAUUCCCCCAGUAGCGGCGAGCGAACGGGGAGGAGCCCAGAGCCUGAAUCAGCAUGUGUGUUAGUGGAAGCGUCUGGAAAGGCGCGCGAUACAGGGUGACAGCCCCGUACACAAAAGCGCAUGUGCUGUGAGCUCGAUGAGUAGGGCGGGACACGUGGUAUCCUGUCUGAAUAUGGGGGGACCAUCCUCCAAGGCUAAAUACUCCUGACUGACCGAUAGUGAACCAGUACCGUGAGGGAAAGGCGAAAAGAACCCCGGCGAGGGGAGUGAAAAAGAACCUGAAACCGUGUACGUACAAGCAGUGGGAGCCCCACCACCAAAGCAUUUGCUGUACCGCGUUGACGGAGCGAAGCGACGUCAAACCGAUAAAACAGCAGUGUAAAGUGAGCCGCAGGGCGCUUUGCGCGACAGCGCAAAGGCAGGCGGUUUCGCGUAGCGAAAGCGAAUGCUUUGGGGUGGGGUGACUGCGUACCUUUUGUAUAAUGGGUCAGCGACUUAUAUUCUGUAGCAAGGUUAACCGAAUAGGGGAGCCGGAGGGAAACCGAGUCUUAAUUGGGCGUUAAGUUGCAGGGUAUAGACCCGAAACCCGGUGAUCUAGCCAUGGGCAGGUUGAAGGUUGGGUAACACUAACUGGAGGACCGAACCGACUAAUGUUGAAAAAUUAGCGGAUGACCUGUGGCUGGGGGUGAAAGGCCAAUCAAACCGGGAGAUAGCUGGUUCUCCCCGAAAGCUAUUUAGGUAGCGCCUCGUGAAUUCAUCUCCGGGGGUAGAGCACUGUUUCGGCUAGGGGGCCAUCCCGGCUUACCAACCCGAUGCAAACUGCGAAUACCGGAGAAUGUUAUCACGGGAGACACACGGCGGGUGCUAACGUCCGUCGUGAAGAGGGAAACAACCCAGACCGCCAGCUAAGGUCCCAAAGUCAUGGUUAAGUGGGAAACGAUGUGGGAAGGCCCAGACAGCCAGGAUGUUGGCUUAGAAGCAGCCAUCAUUUAAAGAAAGCGUAAUAGCUCACUGGUCGAGUCGGCCUGCGCGGAAGAUGUAACGGGGCUAAACCAUGCACCGAAGCUGCGGCAGCGACACUGUGUGUUGUUGGGUAGGGGAGCGUUCUGUAAGCCUGUGAAGGUGUGUCGUGAGGCAUGCUGGAGGUAUCAGAAGUGCGAAUGCUGACAUAAGUAACGAUAAAGCGGGUGAAAAGCCCGCUCGCCGGAAGACCAAGGGUUCCUGUCCAACGUUAAUCGGGGCAGGGUGAGUCGACCCCUAAGGCGAGGCCGAAAGGCGUAGUCGAUGGGAAACGGGUUAAUAUUCCCGUACUUGGUGUUACUGCGAAGGGGGGACGGAGAAGGCUAUGUUGGCCGGG